GGUUAAGCGACUAAGCGUACACGGUGGAUGCCCUGGCAGUCAGAGGCGAUGAAGGACGUGCUAAUCUGCGAAAAGCGUCGGUAAGGUGAUAUGAACCGUUAUAACCGGCGAUGUCCGAAUGGGGAAACCCAGUGCAAUUCGUUGCACUAUCGUUAACUGAAUACAUAGGUUAACGAGGCGAACCGGGGGAACUGA
rnacentral:rRNA from 1 species